AAAUAUCCGAACGUUUCGUCCCCACAGAAGCCGCCGGCUACGCGUUCGGGUCCGUUUUGACCGCCGGUGACGUCACGGAAUUCAGUGGUCGGAAAAGUUAUUACUAAAGGACAUGACAUGCCCUUCGCGUUCGCUUUCAUUCGAGUGGUGACCAUCGAACGGUUCGGACGGUCGAACCUUCGGCGUUGGCUGAGACCCACGACAAGCGCGUGUCCGUUGCAAUCAUAGAAGGCUGUUCUUUUGUAUUAGUGUGCGUGCGUGUGUGUGUGCUAGCGGUUGAUGGAUAUUUGAGCGACGGGUUCGGUUUGAAAUAAUUUCCUCAAAGAAAUAUGAAGAUUUUUGUUGGAAAAGUAACGUUUUCGUGGACCCCUACAAUCGUUUGAUUACCCCGUAAACGCCAAUGGUUUUAUUACUUACGCCGUGUGCGCGUGUGUGGGCAGGUGUUGCACCUGCUCACCUGCCUCAUAAGUGAGCGAGUACAAUCUGUAAAUCUGUGUCUGAAAAGAGUGCCGCGUGCAACUGCUUAAAGUGUAUUUAAACAGCUUGAGUGUGUUUCCCUUUUCCACCCGUAGAGCAGAGUGGUUCGUUGCGGCCAAGGUGUUUGAGUUGUUUGCUGUGUCUACUGCGAUCAUUAUUUUAACUUCUCCCCCAUUUGUGUUUUUCUCCAACCCGGUGGUAAUGUCCACAAAGCGGCGGAAUGGUGUGCGUGUGUGUGAGUGUGCGCGCGCGUUGCAUCAUGAAUAAUUAAGGAUCCGGCUGUACGUUUGAACGCGCAGCGGUGCGGUCCCGAGCCCGAGGGGGACACGGACAUGUUGGAAAUGGAAAAAGUUUCCAGAGAGUGGACGAAGGUGUGGUGUGUGAGGGAGGAAGGUGUACAUCGAAAUUGGUCAAUGCUUGGAAGCAUAAUAUUCGGUACCGAACCGAAUGUACCCCUCCGAUGCGAGGGCCCCCGCCUCCUCUCAUAAGUUAUGCAAUGGGAGCGAAAUGCCUUUGUCCCGUUCGGUGUUGACACCUCGCGACACUCACUUCCGCCGGUAUUUGUGGUUGAAUGUCGAAGGCGGGAGCAAGGUGGGUUAAAUUUUCCAGCCAACCCAAAGCACCGGGAGGCAACGGGCAGUAGGUUACCCAAACAAAGCUAAGCACGUUUCCUGUGUGUGUAUGUUGCAAGGAUAGCAUGUAGGGAUCGCAUGUAUGCAUGGGCAGGUUUGAAGGGAUCUCGUGUUAUGAUGACCCGGUUAAGCUAAUGGCUGAGGAGAUCCCCUACGCCUCGAUGGACAGUGACUCCAAAGCAAAGGACGUCUCCACGUGAGAACCGCUGCGUCCUCCGAGCGGGUGGGAGCGGUGGUGGUGCGAAGGGUAGCGAAAAUGGGGGCAACUUGUAACACACAGUACAUUAACGGCACGAAUUGUUAACAGAUAAUUGAGCUUUUCGUAGUCCGGUUGAUUGAUUGAUUGAAAGUGGAUUUGUGGAAAUUCGUGGUGACUUUGACGAUGGCACUUUUGUCGCUUUUUUGAUGGGACGGGGGUUUUGCGGUACACGGGACAAUUUAUAGUUGGAUCGUGACUAUCCGCUUUUGCGGGGAGGUAUUGAGAAUUGAGAGAGGUAAUGAUUGCAAGAAUGGUGUGCGCGGGUUUCUUUUUUAAUAACAGUUUGGGACAAAAUCGUGACCAUAUUCAAUGUUAAUUGUGCAGUAAGAUGAGCUGACUGUCUACAUUGUUGAAGAUUCCUAUCGUUUUCAUUAAGAUGAUCUUAGUUUUUACUUUAUCUGGGCCACACUGUCAAGUUGCUGCUUGCUUGUCGUAAGAAACAUGCAACGACACUGGCUCUUUACCGAUAGUUAACCCUAUCUCGUGCCUUAAUCUAGCACCUGGAACGCAGGUUUUGAUGAGGUGAAUUAUUAAUUACGCCCCUGUGGACUGUGACCUCUGUGCAACACGAUCAGCUUUAAACAGUGGUCGUCCAGUGGUGGCUUUGUGCUCCGGCGGUUCAAUACGUGUCCAUCCCUUGCCACGUGCGGCAGCUGUUUCAGUGAGUACUUGACCGUGCGUUGGUAGUGUUACCCGACAAAAAAAGUGGUUCAUUAAUGUUUAACAACAGACCCCGAGCGGUGGCCACAUUUGUGAGUGACAUGUAUGCCCAUCCGGAGUGACACGCUGGAAAACUCCCACGAAAGGCAAACAAAUCUACAAAUUAAUGACAAACACACGCUAACAAUCACAUUAAACGGGGUGUCUAGUACGAACAAAAAAAAGGAAAAGAAUCGUAGUGGUCACUUGGAUCGGUUGUUUCUUUGUUGCGGUGGUUGUUUGUUUUACCUUGUUGCUGCUAAUGUGACCAGUGCCGGGCAAACGGACGGCAGUACUCAGUGGUUACAUACAAAAACAGCGUGUUUUCCCGCCUACCUCGAUCCAACGAUGGUGUACAAACCACCGGGCACCUCCACCUCAUCACGUGGCAUUUCACCGCAGCGGGCACAGCAGUACGCGACGAGCCAGCAGCGCAACGACGGCAGUCGACGGCGUGCCGUGGUACCGGGUGAAGCUUUUCAGUCCAUUUCCCACUUUGGCAGUGUGCGCAGCAAGCUUAACAAUCAUGCCGGCGGACCGGCAGACCGAGGCAUCCGUACAUCCGGCGGCGAUGGUGGUGGCGGCGGUGGCAUGAAGCGAUCGAACAGUCUCAACAAUAAGUAUAACAACAAUUACGCAGCAGCAGCAGCAACAACGACGACGACGCAGCCACGUCGUUCGAACAGCAUCGAUCGGAUGAACAACGGCAAGGUGUACCGUGGGCGUAGUCCGUUGCGAAAUUCCACAUCGAACCUGCACAGCAUGACGGGCGCCGGCAGUGGCCCGUACCGGAACCAGCCGGUUCUGAUUCGCUCCCGUGGAAAUGACAUCGGCAGCAUGGACAAUUUGGAUAACAUAACCCAAGCAUCGACCGGCAGCAGCAACUCAAUGCCCGGCACGCCCGAGGAUAACAUCAACGUGGUGGUUCGGGUCCGUCCUCUAAGCAACAAGGAGGCAAGACAUGGAGACGAAAUGGUGGUACAAUUUCCUGGAAAUGGCCAAAUAUUGUGUGACGGAAUUCCGCUAACCUCGGGCGCUGGUGCCCAGAAGCCGAAACUGUUCUCCUACAACGUCGUGUUCGAACCGGGCGCCACACAGGACGAUGUGCUGCAGUACUCCGGCAUCAAGCGACUGAUCGAGAUGGCGAUCGAAGGAUUCAGCUGUACCGCGUUUUGUUACGGCCAGACCGGGUCGGGCAAAACGCACACACUUACCGGUCCGCCGGAGCUGUUUUAUCGUAAACCCGACCCGGCACACGAGGAUCAUGGGCUGGUGUUUCGCUCAUUUCUCUACCUAUUCAAGCUGCUGCAAGAGCGCAAAGAUACCAACUUUGUCCUGAAGGCAUCGUUCCUGGAGAUUUACAACGAAAAGGUGAUCGAUUUGCUUAAUCCCGGCACGGCUAGGAAACCGCUCGCCGUACGAUGGUCCAAAAAGUCGCGUGGCUUUUUUGUGGAGAAUCUGUUCACCGUCGACUGCGAGGAGCUGGACGAUUUGUUGGCAGUGCUGGAGGAAGGAAUGCGAAAUCGACACGUUGGUUCGCACCUGAUGAACGAUUACUCCUCGCGCAGCCACACGAUCCUGACGGUGCACAUCACCUCCGAGCAGCAGGCCGAGGGCGGCGUGUUCAUUUCCAAGCAGGGCAAAAUUAACUUUGUCGACCUGGCGGGCAGCGAGAUGACGAAGAAAACACACAGCGAGGGCAAAACGCUCGAGGAAGCGAACAACAUCAACAAAAGCCUAAUGGUGCUGGGUUACUGUAUCGCCUCGCUAAGCGACUCCAAGCGGCGCGGCGGUCACAUUCCGUACCGGGACAGCAAGCUAACCAAGCUGCUGGCGGACAGUCUGGCAGGGAAUGGCGUAACUUUGAUGAUUGCAUGCAUUUCGCCGGCCCAAUCGAACGUGACCGAAACGGUGAACACACUGCGCUAUGCGGCCCGUGCCAAACGCAUCCGCACGAAACCGAUCAUCGUGAUGGACCCGCGGGAGGCACUGAUCCUCAGCUUGAAGCGUGAAAUCGGCGCACUGCAGGUGGAAAAUGAGCAUCUCAGAACGGCGCUCAACCUGCAGACCGAAGCGCAGGACAUUAACAGCCAGGUGGAUCUGCUCGAGCGUCGACCGAUACCGCGCAGCCCGCCGAAGGUGGACGUGGAGAAGCUGACCGACAUGGAGGGCAACGAGUUGAAGGAGCUGGUGAAGGUGUACGUGACGGAAAAUCAGGCGCUCCGGCAGGAGAAUGCAGAGCUGUACUCGACGCGGGAAAUGAUUAUCCGCGACCAGGAGCUGGUGUGCCGGGAGAACGAACGGCUGCUCAAAAAGCUCGAGGAUGUUAAUUCAGUCUGCUGCCGUUCGCCGAUCAUACCGGCCCGACCGACGUUUUCCGCCGAAAUGCUGAAUCUGUCCGCGGCGAGCGGCGAUUUGGAGGUGUCGAACAUUUGGCGCAAUCCGCUAAGUUCCAGCGCCGACAGCAUGAAUCGCUACCGCAACGAAUCGCUGGAUGGGCGCGUGUCGGCCAACGAGAACAAGAUACCGGAACUGCUGCAGAAGGAACUGGACAAGCGCCGGAUUGGUGAUAGCAUUACCACGAUUGCUAACAAUCUGACGCGCAACAACUCGUGGGACACUGCAAACCGUUCGAACGGGACGUCCAUGCAUGGGAUGAAGCUGGCCUCCCGCAAGGGUUCGGCCGACAGUCGCCAUUCGGAUCCGAGCCAGGCGAGAACGAGUCAGACAAGAAUUAUAGACCUCGCGCCAAACCCCCCUCAGACGGCACGCUCCAGUGCUGCGUCUCAUCCGCCCUGGAGACGUUCAGCACCGCGGUCGUCCAGUGCGCAGAAAUCGGCCACGCCACUGUCCGUCCGGAAGGGGACGUUUCUGCUCGCUAAGAGCAAAUCGACGGACGAGGGCAUUCUGCCGCUGAGGCGGAACAUAUUCGGUAGCCUAGUGUCGCUCGAUGACUGAGAGCACUGUUUCGCCAUUGUGAAACGGUCCCCACCCACUCGGGAAGACUCUCGUAAGGUCGCGUUGCGGCGCCUCUCCCAAUCACUUGACCAUGAUCAGUUAAACAAGACGGGAGGAAAGCACCCUUCGUUCCCAAACGGGUGAGCGGUGUGCAUUGGAAAGGAGCAUCAUGUGAUAAUGUACUGAAAAGCGCAGGGAACUAGAAUGUAUGGCCGAAAGUGUAGCUUAAUAGCAAAGGAAAUCAAAACUAUGCAACACAUUCGAUAGUGAAUGGUGCCUUUCUUGUAAACGAAUAAAUUAAUUAACUGGAAUGUAGAAUGUUAACAAGA